rnacentral:rRNA from 1 species
AACGAACGCUGGCGGCAGGCUUAACACAUGCAAGUCGAACGAUAUAGUGGCAGACGGGUGAGUAACGCGUGGGAACGUGCCUUUCACUACGGAAUAGCUUUUGGAAACGAAAGGUAAUACCGUAUACGCCCUCCGGGGGAAAGAUUUAUCGGUGAAAGAUCGGCCCGCGUUAGAUUAGCUAGUUGGUGAGGUAAUGGCUCACCAAGGCGACGAUCUAUAGCUGGUCUGAGAGGACGACCAGCCACACUGGGACUGAGACACGGCCCAGACUCCUACGGGAGGCAGCAGUGGGGAAUCUUGCACAAUGGGGCGAAAGCCUGAUGCAGCCAUGCCGCGUGAAUGAUGAAGGCCUUAGGGUUGUAAAAUUCUUUCGCUAGGGAUGAUAAUGACAGUACCUAGUAAAGAAGCACCGGCUAAACUUCGUGCCAGCCGCCGCGGUAAU